GAUUGAUUACAAUGUUACAUCGAUUAUCAUCAUUUCGAUUUUCAUUACGAUUACAUUGGAAAAUUUGUUUUUAUUUGGAAAAAUUUCAUACGAAACAACCAUAUGGAUUUUCAUAUGGUCGUUUUGGUUUGAUCACUAUGAUUGGUUUUGUUUGGUUUCUACUUAUUAAUGCCAAAAUACUGAUGAUGGUCUAUAAACUGGCCAUACAGAUUCCAGAUCGAUGAUGUUGGCCACUGGAUUAAUUUGUUAAAUUAUGAAUUUAUAAUUGUAAAAAAAAUAACUAAAUAAAUUUUUGCAAAUUUCA